rnacentral:rRNA from 1 species
GAUGAACGCUGGCGGCGUGCCUAAUACAUGCAAGUCGAGCGAAGCGGGGACGGGUGAGUAACACGUGGAUAACCUCCUAUAAGACUGGGAUAACUUCGGGAAACCGGAGCUAAACCGGAUGCUUAUAGAUGGAUCCGCGCUGCAUUAGCUAGUUGGUAAGGUAACGGCUUACAAAGGAAAAGAUGCAUAGCCGACCUUAGGGGGUGAGCGGCCACACUGGAACUGAGACACGGUACAGACUCGUAAGGGAUGCAGGAGUAGGGAGUUUUCCGCAAUGGGCGAAAGCCUGACGGAGCAACGCCUCGUGAGUGAUGAAGGUCUUCGGAUCGUAAAACUCUGUUAUUAGGGAAGCGGUACUGACUCAGAAGGCCACGGCUAACUGCGUGCCAGCCGCCGCGGUAAUAC